rnacentral:rRNA from 1 species
UAUCUGGUUGAUCCUGCCAGUAGUCUAUUUGGUUGAUCAAAGCUGUAGUCAUGCGCUUGUAUGUAAGAUUAAGCCAAGCAUGUGUAAGUGUAAAUGUAGUAUUUAGGCACUGAGAAUGGCUCAUUAUGUCAGUUAUAGUUUAUUAGGUGAAGGAUUUUUAGAGGAUAUCCGUAGUACUUAUAGGGAUAAUACAUGGGGAAGCAUUUUUGGAGGAAAGUUUAUUAGAAUGAAAUCCAUAUUGUUCGGCAUGAUCAUGAGUAAUAGUAAGAUCGCGUAUCCCAUGCGCGAGUAGCGAUGAGUUUAAAAUUUUUCCGCCUUAUCAGCUGUCGAUGGUAUGUUAUCGGCCUACCAUGGCAGUGACGGGUAAAGAAGAAGGUGGGUUUUCUUUAGGAGAGGCAGCAUGAGAGAUGGCUACCACAACCAAGGACGGCAGCCGGCGAAUUAAUUACCCCAUCCUGACGCAAGGUGGUAGCGACAAUAAAUCACAAUGGGGUACAUUAGUCUGGUAAUUGGAAUGAGUACAAUGUAAAUCCCUUAUCGAGGAUCCAUUGGAGGGCAAGUCUGGUGCCAGCAGCCGCGGUAAUCCAGUUCCCAAUUGGAUAU